rnacentral:rRNA from 1 species
CACUCCUGCGGGAGGCAGCAGUGAGGAAUAUUGGACAAUGGGUGGAAGCCUGAUCCAGCCAUCCCGCGUGCAGGAAGACGGCCCUAUGGGUUGUAAACUGCUUUUAUCUGGGGAUAAACCUACUUACGUGUAAGUAGCUGAAGGUACCAGAAGAAUAAGCACCGGCUAACUCCGUGCCAGCAGCCGCGGUAAUACGGAGGGUGCAAGCGUUAUCCGGAUUUAUUGGGUUUAAAGGGUCCGUAGGCGGACUGAUAAGUCAGUGGUGAAAUCCGACAGCUUAACUGUCGAACUGCCAUUGAUACUGUUAGUCUUGAGUAAGGUUGAAGUGGCUGGAAUAAGUAGUGUAGUGGUGAAAUGCAUAGAUAUUACUUAGAACACCAAUUGCGAAGGCAGGUCACUAAGUCUUAACUGACGCUGAUGGACGAAAGCGUGGGGAGCGAACAGGAUUAGAAACCCCUGUAGUCCCAUG